CGAGCACAUGGGCCCUCGGGCCGGGCAGGCGCGGGGCGGACCGGACCCGGAGGAACAGCUCCGGGGCCGCGAACCAGGACGGGCCCGGCUCCCCCUGGGCUCCCCCGAGUGGAUUUCCGCGCGGCAAGGAUGUUGGCGGCCCCGGUGCCACGGCUUGGAUCCACCUUCCAGCCUGAUCUCUGGACCACAAAGGAGUUAAAAAGAUACACGCCCGCUUCCCCUACCCCGUGGCCAUACCUGUCCGCUGCAUGGAGCGUCACUCGAGGAUUUCCCGCGCGUGUGGAUUUACAGAGAUGUCCAGCUGCUGCGGAAUCGCGCCGGCGAAGCCUUCCUGGUUACACACUGCUGGAUGCUCAAGGUGUGCGGGAAGCCUCGUGGAUUCCGCAGCCGGAUGCCCGAGGGGGACGGAGGACCCCAGCUUCCUGAGCUCGCAUCGUGGACAGGAAUGUUUGCCUGGGUCUCUCCAGCUCCCUUCGGGGCUCCCCAGGAAACAUCUAUUUGCAGGAUCCUGGGAUUUAGGUGCCUUUCGCCUGAAAACACACGUGUCCAUUCAACACUCCAGAGGAACCCGAGCGCUGGCCUUCCCUGGACUCCAGUGGUAACGCCUUGAGCUUGGAGGAGGGAGCACGGUCCCCGGCUGCGGUGUGUCUUAAACAGCGCGCCCAUCACUUUGGGACCCUUCUCCUCCUGCAAACCUGAACGGUCGAAUGCCACCCCAGGCUGAAGACCAUUUUUGAUCUGCAGCUGAUUGAAUCAAUGGAUGUGGCACCUGAAAAUGUAGAGGGCGGACUUCA